UACAGAGGGGGCAAGCGUUAUUCGGAAUUAUUGGGCGUAAAGCGCGUGUAGGCGGCUUUGCAAGUCGGGUGUGAAAUCCCUCAGCUCAACUGAGGAAGUGCGCCCGAAACUGCAUUGCUUGAGUACCGGAGAGGAUGGUGGAAUUCCCCAAGUAGAGGUGAAAUUCGUAGAUAUGGGGAGGAACACCGGUGGCGAAGGCGACCAUCUGGACGGAUACUGACGCUGAGACGCGAAAGCGUGGGGAGCAAACAGG
rnacentral:rRNA from 1 species